CCUACGGGUGGCAGCAGUGAGGAAUAUUGGUCAAUGGACGAGAGUCUGAACCAGCCAAGUAGCGUGAAGGAUGACUGCCCUAUGGGUUGUAAACUCCUUUUAUAUGGGAAUAAAAUGUUCCACGUGUGGGUUUUUGUAUGUACCAUAUGAAUAAGGAUCGGCUAACUCCGUGCCAGCAGCCGCGGUAAUACGGAGGAUCCGAGCGUUAUCCGGAUUUAUUGGGUUUAAAGGGAGCGUAGGGGGUUUGUUAAGUCAGUUGUGAAAGUUUGCGGCUCAACCGUAAAAUUGCAAUUGAUACUGGCAGUCUUGAGUACAGUUGAGGAGGGCGGAAUUCGUGGUGUAGCGGUGAAAUGCUUAGAUAUCACGAAGAACUCCGAUUGCGAAAGCAGCUUACUAAUCUGCCACUGACAUUGAUGCUCGAAAGUGUGGGUAUCAAACAGGAUUAGAUACCCUAGUAGUC
rnacentral:rRNA from 1 species